rnacentral:rRNA from 1 species
CACAGAGGGGGCAAGCGUUAUUCGGAAUUAUUGGGCGUAAAGGGCGCGUAGGCGGCCAUUCAAGUGACGGGUGAAAGCCCUCGGCUUAACUGAGGAACUGCCUGUCAGACUGGAUGGCUUGAGACCGGGAGAGGUGAGUGGAAUUCCCAGUGUAGCGGUGAAAUGCGUAGAUAUUGGGAGGAACACCAGUGGCGAAGGCGGCUCACUGGACCGGGACUGACGCUGAGGCGCGAAAGCGUGGGGAGCGAACAGG